CCUACCGCGCCCCUCCUUUUUUCAUAUUGCACAAUGGGCGAAAGCCUGAUGCAGCACCUCCGCGUGAGCGAUGAAGGCCUUCGGGUCGUAAAGCUCUGUCCUAAGGGAAGAAUACUGACGGUACCUUAGGAGGAAGCCCCGGCUAACUACGUGCCAGCAGCCGCGGUAAUACGUAGGGGGCUAGCGUUAUCCGGAAUUACUGGGCGUAAAGGGUGCGUAGGCGGCCCUUCAAGUCAGAGGUGAAAGGCUACGGCUCAACCGUAGUAAGCCUUUGAAACUGUAGGGCUUGAGUGUAGGAGAGGAGAGUGGAAUUCCCAGUGUAGCGGUGAAAGGCGUAGAUAUUGGGAGGAACACCAGUUGCGAAGGCGGCUCUCUGGACUGUAAAUGACGCUGAGGCACGAAAGAGUGGGGAGCGAACAGGAUUAGAUACCCGAGUAGUC
rnacentral:rRNA from 1 species